CAGAGAUUGCAGCGAGCCACGAUCGCACCACUGCACUCCAGCCUGGCGACAGAGCGAGACUCCAUCUCAAGAAAAGGAAAGAAAAGCCCUAGUAGCUCCUCAGUGUCAGCCCUAAAAUCCCAACCAUCCUACUUCCCAUGUAAACAAAUUUCCCACCCCUCACUCUCCUGUUUGCUGCUUGGGUAACUGCCCAUCUAGCAGCUUCAGUGGAGCUUCAUCUUCACACAAAGAUAAUCACUUCCCAUUUUCCUGCUUUAGUUUCUCUCUGCUUCAGAGCCAUCAAAAGGAAAGAAACAAAGAAAAAGCUACAAACAUGAGUCAAGGCUGUAUAUAGCAGCUCUGGAUCCUAUCCCAGUUGGAUUGACUACUCUGGGCUCAGUGUCUUUUGCAUCUACUGCAGGAAUUCAACCAGACGCUGAACAGGACAGUAGUUGGCUAACCUGUGAUACUGUUAUCAGACCAAUACCCCUAGGAAGUCUACAGAUUAGAAUGGAAGGAAGAAUCUGGAUUACAGCUUGGAUCAGAGAAGAAGAGUCUUGGUUUCCAUAUAGUUAAGAGGCAAGAAGUAUGACAAGUAUGGCAAGGAACUCUUAUUUCCAGUAUAAAGAAUGGGCAGGAGUCUCCCCACUGAGGUCCACCUCUCUUUGGAGGCAAGAGGAGUGGUAUUUGUAACUCUGGGUAAGAGUUGAAAUUACUCACAUAGAAGAAGGAGAUGGGACCGGCAUGGAAACUAAUCAUAAUCCCGAAGAUGCAAGUCAGCUGGGACAGCAUGAUAUGCAGUGCCACAGCAGCCAGGUAAGCACUCAUUGCAGACUCCGGAAGGUAAGUGGCAAUGAAGCCCAAACCCAAUACGCCCAUUGUUAGCUGCAAAGAGAAAACCAGAGUGGGGCAGAAUGUCUUCAAUCCAGCAAUGGCACCAGUGGCACUCUCAAGGAAAAGAAGGAUUUCCAACAGAAAAGUUAGGAUAGGCCCCUUUGGUAACUCUUAUAACUCUCUUUCCUUAAUGAACAGAAGUUGAUAACAUGGGUCCUUGUGUGUUGAUCAAAGGCUCCUGACAAGUGCUAGCCCACACUACUCCUUUCCUUCUUUGUGAGCAGUCAGCUCACUUAAGUUCUUGCCCUGGAAUCUACUGCUCUCUAGGUUGACUUGGGGAAAACAGGGACAAGGUGAU